CCUACGGGGUGCAGCAGUGGGGAAUAUUGCACAAUGGGCGCAAGCCUGAUGCAGCCAUGCCGCGUGUACGAAGAAGGCCUUCGGGUUGUAAAGUACUUUCAGCGGGGAGGAAGGCGAUAAGGUUAAUAACCUUGUCGAUUGACGUUACCCGCAGAAGAAGCACCGGCUAACUCCGUGCCAGCAGCCGCGGUAAUACGGAGGGUGUAAGCGUUAAUCGGUAUUACUGGGCGCAAAGCGCACGCAGGCGGUCUGUCAAGUCGGAUGUGAAAUCCCCGGGCUCAACCUGGGAACUGCAUUCGAAACUGGCAGGCUGGAGUCUUGUAGAGGGGGGUAGAAUUCCAGGUGCAGCGGUGGAAUGCGUAGAGAUCUGGAGGAAUACCGGUGGCGAAGGCGGCCCCCUGGACAAAGACUGACGCUCAGGUGCGAAAGCGUGGGGAGCAAACAGGAUUAGAUACCCGUGUAGUC
rnacentral:rRNA from 1 species